UACGUAGGCAGCAAGCGUUGUUCGGAGUUACUGGGCGUAAAGAGUGUGUAGGCGGUUCUCCCAGUUCGGUGUGAAAUCUCCCGGCUCCACUGGGAGGGUGCGCCGAAAACUGGAGGGCUUGAGUAUGGGAGAGGAAAGCGGAAUUCCUGGUGUAGCGGUGAAAUGCGUAGAUAUCAGGAGGAACACCUGCGGUGUAGACAGCUUUCUGGACCAUUACUGACGCUGAGACACGAAAGCGUGGGUAGCAUACGGG
rnacentral:rRNA from 1 species